GAUGAACGCUGGCGGCGUGCCUAAUACAUGCAAGUCGAGCGAACAGACGAGGAGCUUGCUCCUCUGACGUUAGCGGCGGACGGGUGAGUAACAUGUGGAUAACCUACCUAUAAGACUGGGAUAACUUUGGGAAACCGGAGCUAAUACCGGAUAAUAUAUUGAACCGCAUGGUUCAAUAGUGAAAGACGGUUUUGCUGUCACUUAUAGAUGGAUCCGCGCCGCAUUAGCUAGUUGGUAAGGUAACGGCUUACCAAGGCAACGAUGCGUAGCCGACCUGAGAGGGUGAUCGCCCACACUGGAACUGGGACACGGUCCAGACUCCUACGGGAGGCAGCAGUAGGGAAUCUUCCGCAAUGGGCGAAAGCCUGACGGAGCAACGCCGCGUGAGUGAUGAAGGUCUUCAGAUCGUAAGACUCUGUUAUUAGGGAAGAACGAAUGUGUAAGUAACUAUGCACGUCUUGACGGUACCUAAUCAGAAAGCCACGGCUAACUACGUG
rnacentral:rRNA from 1 species